rnacentral:rRNA from 1 species
UACGUAGGGUGCAAGCGUUGUCCGGAAUUAUUGGGCGUAAAGAGCUCGUAGGCGGCUUGUUGCGUCGACUGUGAAAACCCGCGGCUUAACUGCGGGCUUGCAGUUGAUACGGGCAGGCUAGAGUUCGGUAGGGGAGACUGGAAUUCCUGGUGUAGCGGUGAAAUGCGCAGAUAUCAGGAGGAACACCAACGGCGAAGGCGGGUCUCUGGGCCGAUACUGACGCUGAGAAGCGAAAGCAUGGGGAGCGAAACAGG